CUUUAUUGCUUAAGGAGGAAUCGUAAGUAUGUUGAGUCGGGGUUUCGCAACUAGGAGAACAUGGUCACAAGAAAUGUAGAGUGUAAUGCACACAAUUUUAUGAUUUUAUCGAUCUGAUCAACUUUCCGGACCCACGUCAUUCGACAUUGAAGUAGGGCUCGUUUCGGAUAACGAUGCGUAGUUUACUGCUUCAACUACAAGUUUGUCUAAGCAUUUUCGAGUCGUGUGAUUUUGACGCUUUAGUUAUUGGGGCUUGUAAGCGUGAGAGAUCGGGCCAGAAAUAAUUUAAGAAUCUUGCAGAAUAGCAUGACGACAGUAAGAUAAGACGAGAUAGAAACAAUCAAGACAGGUCCUUUUCCUUGAAUGGUUUAGGCAGUCUGGGAUGCUAUUCCACAGCGGAAAUUAUUAAAGUAGAUUGUGGUCAAUUACGUCAAGUUUUUUGCCUUUUUCCUUUAUAUAAGAAGGUAAAAAAUGAGGUGUCU